rnacentral:rRNA from 1 species
AGUGAACGCUGGCGGUAGGCCUGACACAUGCAAGUCGAACGGCAGCACAGUAAGAGCUUGCUCUUACGGGUGGCGAGUGGCGGACGGGUGAGGAAUACAUCGGAAUCUACUUUUUCGUGGGGGAUAACGUAGGGAAACUUACGCUAAUACCGCAUACGACCUACGGGUGAAAGCAGGGGAUCUUCGGACCUUGCGCGAUUGAAUGAGCCGAUGUCGGAUUAGCUAGUUGGCGGGGUAAAGGCCCACCAAGGCGACGAUCCGUAGCUGGUCUGAGAGGAUGAUCAGCCACACUGGAACUGAGACACGGUCCAGACUCCUACGGGAGGCAGCAGUGGGGAAUAUUGGACAAUGGGCGCAAGCCUGAUCCAGCCAUACCGCGUGGGUGAAGAAGGCCUUCGGGUUGUAAAGCCCUUUUGUUGGGAAAGAAAAACAGCAGGUUAAUACCCCGCUGUUCUGACGGUACCCAAAGAAUAAGCACCGGCUAACUUCGUG